rnacentral:rRNA from 1 species
UUUCUGAUACCAGAGGUAAUGAUUAAUAGGGACAACUGGGGGCAUUCGUAUUGCGACGUUAGAGGUGAAAUUCUUGGAUCGUAGCAAGACGGACUAAAGCGAAAGCAUUUGCCAAAGGUGUUUUCAUUAAUCAAGAACGAAAGUUAGAGGUUCGAAG